UACGGAGGGAGCAAGCGUUACUCGGAAUUAUUGGGCGUAAAGGGCGCGUAGGCGAUCUGAAAAGUUCUGUGUGAAAGCCCACAUGUUAACUGUGGAAGUGCACAGAAAACUGUUGGAUUUGAGUUCAGGAGAGGAAGGCAGAAUUCCCGGUGUAGCGGUGAAAUGCGUAGAGAUCGGGAGGAAUACCAGUGGCGAAGGCGGCCUUCUGGACUGACACUGACGCUGAGGCGCGAAAGCCAGGGAGCAAACGGG
rnacentral:rRNA from 1 species